UGAGGAAUAUUGGUCAAUGGACGGAAGUCUGAACCAGCCAUGCCGCGUGCAGGAAGACGGCUCUAUGAGUUGUAAACUGCUUUUGUACAAGGGUAAACCUGAAUACGUGUAUUCAGCUGAAAGUACCGUACGAACAAGGAUCGGCUAACUCCGUGCCAGCAGCCGCGGUAAUACGGAGGAUCCAAGCGUUAUCCGGAUUUAUUGGGUCUAAAGGGUGCGUAGGCGGAUUGAUAAGUUAGAGGUGAAAUGUCCGAGCUUAACUCGGGAACUGCCUCUAAUACUGUUGAUCUAGAGAGUAGAUGCGGUAGGCGGAAUGUAUGGUGUAGCGGUGAAAUGCUUAGAGAUCAUACAGAACACCGAUUGCGAAGGCAGCUUACCAAUCUAUAUCUGACGUUGAGGCACGAAAGCGUGGGGAGCAAACAGG
rnacentral:rRNA from 1 species